rnacentral:rRNA from 1 species
CCUACGGGAGGCAGCAGUGGGGGAUAUUGCACAAUGGGCGCAACCCUGAUGCAGCGACGCCGCGUGGGUGAAGAAGCGCCUCGGCGCGUAAAGCCCUGUCAGCAGGGAAGAAAAUGACGGUACCUGAAGAAGAAGCCCCGGCUAACUACGUGCCACGAGCCGCGGUAAUACGUAGGGGGCCAGCGUUAUCCGGAUUUACUGGGUGUAAAGGGGGCGCAGACGGCGAUGCAAGCCAGGAGUGAAAGCCCGGGGGCCAACCCCGGGACUGCUCUUGGAACUGCGUGGCUAGAGUGCAGGAGGGGCAGGCGGAAUUCCUGGUGUAGCGGUGAAAUGCGUAGAUAUCAGGAGGAACACCGGUGGCGAAGGCGGCCUGCUGGACUGCAACUGACGUUGAGGCCCGAAAGCGUGGGGAGCAAACAGGAUUAGAUACCCUUGUAGUC